CUACACCCAGUUUGUAUUUUUUACCGUUUAAUUCUGGCAACGGUGGUCACUGGGUGUUGGUUGCUAUGGAUCUUUCGAGACUAAUGGUGUAUUAUCUCGAUUCGUUACCGGGUAAUUGGAGUAAAUAUCCGAGUAUGAAGAAGACGGUUGACGCGGCAAUACUAAAAUUUAGAUCGAAAAAGAAUUAUCGUAAUAGGAAGGACAUUACCUGGGUCAGAGUUCAG